rnacentral:rRNA from 1 species
AUGUGUGUGUCGAAAGGUCAAGGAGUUAUGAGUUUCCGAGAUAUACAUUGUUUCAAUCUCACUUUGCUAGCUAAACAAGCGUUGUGUCUUCUUGACAACCCUAGUUAUUUAUGUGGAACUAUCUUGAGAGAUAAAUAUUUCUCUGAUGGAGACCUGAUGAAUGCAAUCUUGAAAAAGGAUUCCUCUUUUAAUUGGAAAAGCAUUAUGGCGGGACUUAAUUCACUAAAAAAAGGGUAUAUCUGGAAGCUGGGAAAUUGACAAAAUAUUGAUAUUUAGAUAGAUGCUUGGAUUCCGAAUUAUGCAAAUAGGAAAAUCAUUACCCCAAGGGGAGAGAACCUCUUAACUAAGGUGUUUGAUCUUAUUGACCCAACCACGAAUUUUUGGGAUGAAGACAUGGUGAGACAAAUGAUGUGGCCAAUUGAUGCUCAGCGAGUCCUCAUGAUCCCCCUUCCUAUGCAUAACAUGUCAGAAUUUAUAGCAUGGAGCUAUAAAAAAGAUGGAUUGCUCACUAUUUGAUCAGCUUAUUUGGCGGAAUGUAACCUUCAACAUGCGAAAAAAUUGCAAUAUACUAAUGGGAUGGGACGAAUAAAUCUCACUCCCAUUUGAGGUAAGUUCUGGAAAUUAUCGUGUCCAGCAAAGGUUGGAUUUUUUGUUUGGCGUAAAUUGUGUGGAAUUCUCCCGUGUCAUGUUAUGCUUGCCAAUAGACAUGUGAAAGUCGCGCCCUUUUCCCCAUACUGCUCAAACCGAACAGAAGAUACAAUGCAUGUGUUGUUUCUAUGUCAGAAAGCAAGGGAGGUUUGGAAUAAGAUGGGAAUGUACGAGGUGAUUAGCAAACCUUGCACUAUUGAUCGUGCGGGAAAGGCAGUACUUGAAUUUCUGCUUCUUUUGCCAAACCAGGAUCUUUUUAUAAGGGGCAUGCAGAAUGCUGAAGUGAUUGCCAUCACCCCUUGGUACUUAUGGUGGGAUAGAAGUAAAUUGGUUCAUGAAGGAAACUCUCAAGAUGUGUAUGAGACUUCUAUGGGGGUUCGUGUUAUAACGACAAACUUUGUUAAUGCCCACUCCCCUGAUGCUUCCAGUAAAAGGGGGUCAUGGAUUAGACCGACUACAGGUUUUGUUAAGCUUAAUGUGGAUGCAUUUUUUGAUCAUGAUCAUCUUAGGGGCAUAGUUGGAGCUGUUCUUAGAUAUGUCAAGGAACAAUUCAUUGUUGGCAGAAAUGUUAGAGAUAUGCCCUAG